rnacentral:tRNA from 3 species
GCGGGUAUAGUAUAAUGGUUAUUAUGUCAGGUUUCCAACCUGAAAAUGGGGGUUCGAUUCCCCCUACCCGCUCCA